rnacentral:rRNA from 1 species
CAGUCGCCGCGGUAAUACGAAGGGUGCAAGCGUUAAUCGGAAUUACUGGGCGUAAAGCGUGCGUAGGCGGUUUGUUAAGUCAGGUGUGAAAUCCCCGGGCUUAACCUGGGAACUGCGCUUGUGACUGCACAGCUAGAGUAUGGCAGAGGGGGGUGGAAUUCCACGUGUAGCAGUGAAAUGCGUAGAGAUGUGGAGGAACACCGAUGGCGAAGGCAGCCCCCUGGGCCAAUACUGACGCUCAUGCACGAAAGCGUGGGGAGCAAACAGGAUUAGAUACCCCCGUAGUCCCUGUCUCUUAUAC